CAUUUCAAAAUUUCUAUGUUAAUUAAGAAUCUCCAAACAAUUUAUUUUCCUGUUUCUAUAAUUAGCACGAAGAAUUGCAUAAAUUGUCUUACAGAAGAACCAUCUCUGAACUCUCUCUCUCUCUCUUGCUCUCUCUCCUCACUGGCAGCCCUCUUGUGUGUUUGAAGUUCCAAUUGUUAGAGCUCAACAAGUUCAAAGGUCCUCUUUUGGAGAAACAUUUUCAUGGCCAGCAAUGAUGCAAAAGGGAAAGGGCCAUUUCAGGAAGGCCGAGUAAAUCGUACACCUCAAGCAAGUAUGACUGAUGCUCCAAAGAGAAGUUAUCAGCUUUGCAGAAGUGAUCCCCUUACUGAUUCUGUUUUUAGGGGGACAAGUAACGUUGAACCAAGUCCUUCUUCUACAUCUGAUUUUUGGGAAUCACAUCAUACUUUAAUGCUAGUAGCCAUAGUCUUGGUUAUCUACUUAGUACUAGGAACCGUAUGCUUCUACCUCCUUGAGCCCCAGAUGAUGGGACACAAAACAAAUGGACUUGUUGAUGCACUCUACUUCUGCAUUGUAACAAUGGCCACUGUUGGAUAUGGAGAUAUUGUGCCCAAUACUGUCCUUAGCAAGAUAUUCGUCUGUUUUUUUGCCUUCACGGGAAUGGCCUUGGUUGUGCUAGGCCUGUCCAAAGCAGCAGACUCUUUCGUGAAGAAGCAGGGAGACAUGCUAGUAAAUGCUUUACAUACGGAUCAAAAUGCCAGAGCAGCUGAUACUAACAAGUAUGAAAAGCAUUAUAAACGAGUGAAAUGCAAGUGUUUAUUGGUCUUUAUCUUUGUUUUGAUGCUCAUGAUUGCUGGGACAACCGUCCUAGCUACCGUGGAGAAAUUGGACCUUAUUGAUGCAUUUUAUUGUGUUUGUGUAACCAUCACAACAUUGGGAUAUGGAGAUAAGAGCUUCAAAACUAAAGGAGGGCGUAUUUUUGCAGUGUUUUGGAUAUUGGCAAGUACUAUUUCUCUGGCUCAGUUUUUAGCCUACAUUACUGAGCUAUUUGCUCAAAAAGCACAAAGUAAAUUGGUCAAGCGGGUUCUUUGCCGGAAAUUGACACAUCGAGAUCUGGAGGAAGCAGAUCUUGAUAAAAAUAAAUCUUUAGAUAUUGCUGAGUUCAUCCUACUUAAGCUCAAACAGAUGGAGAAGAUUAGUGAAGAUGAUAUUGCACCUAUAAGGGAGGAGUUUGGAAAUUAUGAUGUUGAUAAGUCAAACUCCUUAACUACAUCUGAUAUUCUGCAAUCAACUCAAGCAGGGAAGUGACUUUACCCAUGUGAAAGUGGCUACCUUCUUCUGCACUUGUGAAUUAGAUAAAAAUUGUGAAGCAUCCCAAAGAUAGCUACUUAAAAGUGUGUAAGAUCAAUCAUCAAUGUCAUCAUGUUUUUAAUAUACGGCUGUAGCAAGUUCCUCAACAUGUAAUUAUAUAUAGAUUUGAUAAACUAGGUCCUUUCAGAACAUGUGGAUAUAUAUCUCUUCCUUUGGAAAGAAUAUGGUUGUAAAGUAUUUUAUGUAAAAAGGAUUAAAUAAAGACAAUGUUAUCAA